rnacentral:rRNA from 1 species
AAUGGGUCAGCGACUUAUAUUCUGUAGCAAGGUUAACCGAAUAGGGGAGCCGAAGGGAAACCGAGUCUUAACUGGGCGUUAAGUUGCAGGGUAUAGACCCGAAACCCGGUGAUCUAGCCAUGGGCAGGUUGAAGGUUGGGUAACACUAACUGGAGGACCGAACCGACUAAUGUUGAAAAAUUAGCGGAUGACUUGUGGCUGGGGGUGAAAGGCCAAUCAAACCGGGAGAUAGCUGGUUCUCCCCGAAAGCUAUUUAGGUAGCGCCUCGUGAAUUCAUCUCCGGGGGUAGAGCACUGUUUCGGCAAGGGGGUCAUCCCGACUUACCAACCCGAUGCAAACUGCGAAUACCGGAGAAUGUUAUCACGGGAGACACACGGCGGGUGCUAACGUCCGUCGUGAAGAGGGAAACAACCCAGACCGCCAGCUAAGGUCCCAAAGUCAUGGUUAAGUGGGAAACGAUGUGGGAAGGCCCAGACAGCCAGGAUGUUGGCUUAGAAGCAGCCAUCAUUUAAAGAAAGCGUAAUAGCUCACUGGUCGAGUCGGCCUGCGCGGAAGAUGUAACGGGGCUAAACCAUGCACCGAAGCUGCGGCAGCGACACUAUGUGUUGUUGGGUAGGGGAGCGUUCUGUAAGCCUGUGAAGGUGGCCUGUGAGGGUUGCUGGAGGUAUCAGAAGUGCGAAUGCUGACAUAAGUAACGAUAAAGCGGGUGAAAAGCCCGCUCGCCGGAAGACCAAGGGUUCCUGUCCAACGUUAAUCGGGGCAGGGUGAGUCGACCCCUAAGGCGAGGCCGAAAGGCGUAGUCGAUGGGAAACAGGUUAAUAUUCCUGUACUUGGUGUUACUGCGAAGGGGGGACGGAGAAGGCUAUGUUGGCCGGGCGACGGUUGUCCCGGUUUAAGCGUGUAGGCUGGUUUUCCAGGCAAAUCCGGAAAACCAAGGCUGAGGCGUGAUGACGAGGCACUACGGUGCUGAAGCGACAAAUGCCCUGCUUCCAGGAAAAGCCUCUAAGCAUCAGGUAACAUCAAAUCGUACCCCAAACCGACACAGGUGGUCAGGUAGAGAAUACCAAGGCGCUUGAGAGAACUCGGGUGAAGGAACUAGGCAAAAUGGUGCCGUAACUUCGGGAGAAGGCACGCUGAUAUGUAGGUGAAGCGACUUGCUCGUGGAGCUGAAAUCAGUCGAAGAUACCAGCUGGCUGCAACUGUUUAUUAAAAACACAGCACUGUGCAAACACGAAAGUGGACGUAUACGGUGUGACGCCUGCCCGGUGCCGGAAGGUUAAUUGAUGGGGUUAGCGGUAACGCGAAGCUCUUGAUCGAAGCCCCGGUAAACGGCGGCCGUAACUAUAACGGUCCUAAGGUAGCGAAAUUCCUUGUCGGGUAAGUUCCGACCUGCACGAAUGGCGUAAUGAUGGCCAGGCUGUCUCCACCCGAGACUCAGUGAAAUUGAACUCGCUGUGAAGAUGCAGUGUACCCGCGGCAAGACGGAAAGACCCCGUGAACCUUUACUAUAGCUUGACACUGAACAUUGAGCCUUGAUGUGUAGGAUAGGUGGGAGGCUUUGAAGUGUGGACGCCAGUCUGCAUGGAGCCGACCUUGAAAUACCACCCUUUAAUGUUUGAUGUUCUAACGUUGGCCCGUAAUCCGGGUUGCGGACAGUGUCUGGUGGGUAGUUUGACUGGGGCGGUCUCCUCCUAAAGAGUAACGGAGGAGCACGAAGGUUGGCUAAUCCUGGUCGGACAUCAGGAGGUUAGUGCAAUGGCAUAAGCCAGCUUGACUGCGAGCGUGACGGCGCGAGCAGGUGCGAAAGCAGGUCAUAGUGAUCCGGUGGUUCUGAAUGGAAGGGCCAUCGCUCAACGGAUAAAAGGUACUCCGGGGAUAACAGGCUGAUACCGCCCAAGAGUUCAUAUCGACGGCGGUGUUUGGCACCUCGAUGUCGGCUCAUCACAUCCUGGGGCUGAAGUAGGUCCCAAGGGUAUGGCUGUUCGCCAUUUAAAGUGGUACGCGAGCUGGGUUUAGAACGUCGUGAGACAGUUCGGUCCCUAUCUGCCGUGGGCGCUGGAGAACUGAGGGGGGCUGCUCCUAGUACGAGAGGACCGGAGUGGACGCAUCACUGGUGUUCGGGUUGUCAUGCCAAUGGCACUGCCCGGUAGCUAAAUGCGGAAGAGAUAAGUGCUGAAAGCAUCUAAGCACGAAACUUGCCCCGAGAUGAGUUCU